rnacentral:misc_RNA from 1 species
GGGGACCCAAAUUUGGAACAUCCACAUGCAUUAGAAUUUCCUUAUGAAAGAAGGCAUAACACCCUAGCAUAUCAAAAAAAUUAAGCAUAAGUCACGUAGACAAGUCUUCACUCCCUCAACUUUGCCUUCCAAAAAUAAAAAUUAAAUAACCCAGAAAAACACACCCAUUUAAGCCAUUGACAGUGUACGCGCACCUAAUUCGCUCAUUUGUCAUACUCACAUCCUUCUCUUUCAAGACGCUCCGCCAAGUGAUAAAUCCACAAUAUUACCCACACAGCCAAGAAACUAGAACAACAAUUUGUUCAAUUUAUUUUCAACCUUCAUCGAUCUAUUCUGCCGUCAAUACGAUUGCUAAAAAUGAGAUUGUUAGACUUCUUGAUGCUACUAAAUUUCUUUCUUUUGAUUGCUGCUACUCCGCCAAUUCAAGCCCUGGAUUCAAGAAAGCUUGAUGAGAACACCGUCCCCGCCCCGACUGAUCAGAAGUGUGCUCCCUGUACUUCAAGCCCUCCACCACCACCGCCACCAUCACCGUGUCCUCCUCCGCCAGCUUUGCCACCUCCAGCUUUGCCACCUCCUACUCCAAAGAAACCGCCAUCAAGCUACUGCCCUCCGCCUCCAGCAUCAUUCAUCUACAUAACUGGUCCACCGGGGAACUUGUACCCUAUUGACAAUGAUUUUGGCGGUGCUGACCGACCCACGGUGGCGGGGCUGCCGUUUUUGGUUGGAUGUGGGUUGUUAGGCUUUUUGCUAAGAUAUGGGGUUUAAGGGGCCACAAAACAAGUUCAAAAAGAUGAAGAUUGAAGAUUCUAAGGACGGAAAUUUUUUUUGUCCAAAGGUUGAAGCGUUUAGGAUCUAGUUUGGUACUUCUACUUUUAUCUCUCAAUGGUCGAAUAAUUCCAAUUCAGUCUUUUGUUAUUUUCCUUUUUACUCCUUCAAUCCCCUUUCUUUCUCUUAGUUUCAUUAAUAACAAUCUUGUUUUUGUUAGAAACUCUGUCUCUUUCUGCUCUAAUUUGUUAUGUAUUCUGUUUCUUUCCUCUUUUCUUUAUUAACAAUGAAGAAAAACGAUGAUCAGUUUUCUGUGAAUUCUGGAUUCUGGGUUUAGGAAAAUUGAAGGCGGGAUAAUGCCCGAGUUCAUAAAACCAGAUGUAAUAAAUUAGAACAUGGAAAAUUUGUGUGUUAUUAAAGCAUAUGUUCAAUACUAAUCCGUGGAUCGUCC